UUGAAGCCAUCUGGCAUACAAUGAAGUGUUUAGGGAAUAAAUAUUACCUUCACACUAGAAUAUAAGCUUCAUGAGAGCAGAUACCUCAUCUAUUAUGCUGCUGUUUUCCUAGCACAUAGAUCAAAGCACGUGGUGAAUCUCUGAAGAGCCAGACUUCUGGAUGAGCAGCCAGCCGAGCCCAUGGGAUCAGCCUGAAACCCAGAUCUCCUAUACAUCUAGCAGGCCAUGGCACAUUGAAAUUACACGCAAGGCUUUUGGGGAUAUUCACAUUCUCGCUAGGGACACAGCAUCAUGGAAAAAUGAUGUGGUGGUCUAACGUUCUAGUGUUUAUGAGAUGCAAUGCAGAGCUACUUUUGCACAGAAGAUCUAUAUUUUUGAUUAAGCAAUUACCUUCAAUUGUAAUAUGUGGUUACCAAGGAAAUAUGGACUUUCUUCUUCCACCUAUUUGACCUGCAUUUUCUCAAUGAAGAGUCAAUGUCCCAGAUUUGAGAAGAAAGGACUUUAGAGAAACAUUUCGUCCAGUUGCUAUGUGCUAAGCAGUUAAAUGAGCUGCAAGCAAAGAAUGGAAAUUUCCAAUUGCAGCAUCAAGGGCUGCUGUUCUGCUGACAGUCUUGCUCAGCCGGGGUCAUCUGCUUCUCUAAGACAUCAAGGAAUGCCAAGUUUUCUUCAGCCUCCAGUUAUGGCCUAGAGGACUGAACAAGAUGUAUCAGUGUCCCAACUAGCUCCCACAUGUUUCCAGUUCUCAGUCUGAGGCACAAACAGAGGCCACUAAGAAUUCAAAGAUUCAAAAAUCAGCUCUUAGAAGCCUGUGUCACUACAGAGCUGUCAUUGUACCUGCAAGUUCAAGAUUCUUGAUUGCUCAUGGGAACAAGCAUACUGCUGUGGCAUGAAGUGGAAGGUAUAAUUUGGAGCCAGAUGAGAGAAAGGAGGCUCUUUUCAAAAAACUGCAAGAAAUUCUGUAGAAGUCAAACCUUCCAUGGAAAAAGGCUUUAAAACUUCUUUUAAAAACAAGUGGCAGUGGGGAAGUCACCUCACAAAAUGCCCGCAGAGCCUCUCAUUACCGGCAUUUGCUUUAUCAGCUGUGAUGACUCGUCUUGCAUUCAGGGAAGACUUGGAGAAAGCUGGGCUCUGAAAGGACGCUGGAAGUGCCACGUAGAGGAGUGUCCUCGUCAAAACAGGGCCCAUUUCAGAUCCGCCUGGGAUUGGUUCUGGUAGACAAUAAAUUGUAAGCAGAGGUUACAGAUGGUAACUGCUGAAGUCUAAUCCAGUGGGAAGCUACUCCUACCUUCUUGUAUUUCCUCCUUCCUGACUGGACUAUGUAUGUGAUGGCAGGAACUGCAGGAGCCACUUUGUAACCAUAAUUUGGAGAACACAUACCAAAGAUGGCAGAGCAGAAAGACAGAUGGAGCUUACAUUCCAGAAGAAGGCGGCAUUGCUAUGAAGAAUGUCCCAUUGAGGUUUUCACAAAUUUAUAUAAAAUGGGAUGAAAUUAAAGCCUCACAUUUUAUAAGAAAAAAAGGAUGAAACUGAAGCACUAAUUCAUUUUACUCUACUCAGUCUCACUCCGAGUGUUGAACAGUGACUGACCUGUGAAUCUGAUGUGAA